UCCUGUCAUUAACUUCUUUACAUUUUUAUUAGAAAAAAAAACAAUUUUCUAUCAUUUACAUGAGAAAAAUACAUUUGCUUCCUAAGAAGUGAAAUUAUUCUGCUCUUAUCCCUUGAGGACGCUGAUUCUGUUGCCCCUUGAGAUUUCAUAGGAUCAAGGACUCACAAUUAUGCUGGCUGUAUGUUUUGUCUAUGGCUCAAGUCAAUGGUCUUCCAGUUUUUACUAGUGAUGGUCUGGUCUAUUGUCAGUAAACAUUCUAAGCCAAGCCAUUAUAACCCAUCCCUAGAUCUUUCUUCCUCACAGGAUGAUCCUUUCCUAUUAUCCACACUUUUCUUCUUACAGUUGCAUCUGUGACAUACGGAAGUUCCCAGUUAGGGGUUGAAUUGGAGCUGCAGAUACAGCUUAUGUCCCAGCCAUGGCAACACCGGAUCUGAGCUAGGGCCUAGGCUGCAGCUUGUGGCAAGCCAGAUCCUUAAUCCACUGACUGAGGCCAGGGAUCAAACCCGCAUCCUCACCGACAUUAUGUCGGUUUCUUAAUCUGAUGAACCACAAUGGGAGCUCGCCAUUUUCAACACAUUUCAACCCUUCCCUUGCCCUUUUAAGACAAACCCCAUCCCUCAUGUUCAUGGUUUGUAUUCUGUAUCUUCACCUUAAACAACUGUUCUUUCCUUUAGAUUCCUCUGUGAUUAACAAAGUAUUCCCUUAUGAACUUAUCAACAAAAUAUUGAACCCCAAUUUCAUAUGGGAGCUCCAAUUUCAUAUAUGGAUGGCUAUCACACAAUGUCUUUAGAUUCCUAUUAGGGGCACUGUGGUUUCUUGACAUUUGCAACUCCCUGCCCACCCCCUCCCCUCUCCACAGACGUUCAAAGAUAACUCUAUUUCUGACUUUUACAAGUCAUUAAGUCACCCUUUAUAUUUGUCUUGUAUAAACAGAUGAAUGUUGCACUUCAUCAAGGAAAUAGGGUAGAGGGAAGAAGUAAAAUGCAGAAAUUCGCUUUAAAAUUUUCUCUAUUUGCAUAGCAUUUUAGUGUAACUUGUUAGAAUAAUGUUUUUAAAAAAUUCUGCAAGCAGUUGAAUUCUGCCAAACCACAUGUGCUUGGAAGAGGACUCCAAGUUCCAAGUGAACAUGCUGCCCAUCCCACACUCUGAUUUUGGAUUUAUGGGACCCUGAGCAGAGAAUUCAGCAAUGAGCUGUCUGAGCUUCUGAUCUACACAGCCAUGAAGUAACAAAUGAGAGCUGUUAUAAGUCACGCAGUGUGUGGAAAUUUGUUCCUCAGCAAUAAAAGCUACUAUAUCACACACAUAUAGAGGUACAGCAACAGAGGGAAGGGGUGGAGGGAGGGAGAAGGAGAUAAAUAAGGAGGGAGAGAGAAAGAUUUAAACAGUAGGGAAAGAAUUGCAAUUCCUUCUGUUUCUACUCAGGGAGAUUCUAGCUUAGAAUGAGCCUGUGGUAGAAGAUACCACUGCUCUGCCUUCAGAUGUUCUAGCGUCACAGUAACUUUCACAGAAUGAGUUUUGCACAUUACUGAGACACUUCUUUUGAUUAAGAAAAGUUAGGAAAAGCUAUUUUCUAUUAAAUAUGAUUGUAAACCCAAGUCAGUAGCAUCAUCUCAUGUUAAAACUCAGACAAAUGUAUCUGUUUACACAAGGAAGGAAAACAGGACUGGGUUGGAUUUCUUAAGAAAUGCACAACAUUAAUUAAGUGAGGCAGGAGUAUGGCCACACAUUCAGUUCAGGUGACUUAAUACACCCAAGAUAAUUUUAUUUUCACAUGCUUAUUGCUUUACAAAUUCAGUGUAUAUCUCUGUCUUUUUUAUUUUUAUUUUGGCCCUGCUCAUGGCACAUGGAAUUUCUUGGGCCAGAGAUUGAAUCCAAGCUUCAACUGUAAUCUAUGCCACAGCUGUAGCAAAACUGGAUCCUUAACCCUCUGCAUCAAGCCAGAGAUGGAAUCCAUGCCUCAGCAGCAACCUGAGCUGCUGCAGAGACAAUGCCAGAUCCUUAACCUGCUGUGCUACAGCAGAACUCUUAUCUAUGUCUUGAAUUAGAGCUAACUUUACUAUGGUUCCAAAUCUUUUUACUGUUAUGAAUUCAACAGAGAAAGGUGAAUUAAAAUUAUUUACAUAAUUUAAAAAUUAGGAAAACAUUGUCACUUUUUUAUUUAGAAACACUCAUAAAAUAAGCUUCUGCAAAGAAAUGCUUUUGUAAAUGAAUUUAUUAAUCUGUCUAAUCAGAAUGUUUACAAAUUUGGUAAUUUGUAAUUAUUCAUCACAUAAAAUGUGUCAAGAAAGUUUUCUGCUAGGUCUCCACUCUUGGUUAGGUUCUGUUUUAUGUGUAUAUGUAGCAUUGGAACCUGCUCUUAGAACUCCUUACAAUGUAUGGAGAUUAUCUUAACUCUGACUCAUCAAGCCAUGAGCUCACUGAGGAACGGAAUCUUGCCUUGCUCACUACUGAAUGUCUCACACAAAUAUACACUCAAUAUCUAUUGAACAAGCAUUACUUUAAAAUUCUAAAAUAAAAUUUAUCAGAGUUUCAAUAUGAUGUGCUUCCUUUGAUUUAUAAACUGCUUUAUCUUGAAUGAACAUCUUGGUAGCAUUUCGUCUGGUUUUCCAUUUUACAAAUAUAAGGAGUUCAUCUGGAAGAAUUUUUUUUGAUUCCUGCUGGGUUUAAAACUUCAAUUAAGUGACUACCAUUCUAUUUCCCAUGAAAGCUAGCUUAACUUCUUCAAUAUUUCUUCAUAAUUCACAUAUCUGAGAGCAGGAACAUAUUGGUUGGAAUGAUUUUGUGUCCCAGUAGGAGCAAUUAUACAUUUUCUUAUAUGAUUGGUACUGCAUGCAAGUCUAUUGGUGAGCAGUAACCUGUGCCUUGUAAUUCCUUUAAUUUCAUUUACAUUCAGCUGGGAGAGGAGCCAGAUUUCUCCUGGCUUCCACACACUCGCUGAUGGUUAGACAGUAAAGAAACUUUUUAUUUUCCCCUCUGUAGUUGCAGACAUGUCAUCUCUAACGCUCUUCUUUUUGUGGCAUUUUCUGUCACUACCUAUUAUUCACCAGGAAUAUAUUUUCUACAUUUACCAUGUUUACCCAGCAAACUUCCCCAUUCCUUUACUUUUGACUGUAAGUUCAUUUGAAUCCUUUAAGAAUAGCCUAGAUUUGAAACUACAAAUUAAAUUUCUUAAGGUAAAAGGUUGCCAAGAGGUCAUAUUUUAGAGGCACUGUGUUUACUAUGUAUGUCAAAAUUUACAUACUAUUGAUAUGCUCCAUUUAUCUUGGCAUCUGCUACUGAUUUUCUUAACUACAAAUGAACAUAUUUUAAAUUUCCUGACUGCUCUCCCUAGCAGAGUGAAGACUGGCUUUGAGAUUCCAACUUUAUAAAGCAACAUGCCAUUUUCAUUUUUAAUUUGGGUAUGGUAGGGCUGUAAUAUGAAUAUGUAAAUUUUCAAUGUAUGUAUCUUUUAAGAGAGUGAUAGGUUUGAGGAGCAUCCAUUUUUCAAAAAUUAAGGGCAAUUAGUGAAAAGAUCCGCCUACAUUCGCAGGCCGUCCUUCUGAGUUGAGCUGCCCUAGGGAAGAGCCUCUUAGAUUCUCAGUGACCCAGAUAGCUGCUCCAGCCCCCAGGGGGUGCUGAACUCCUGAGGAACAGCUGCCCAACACCGCCAACCCCCUGAAAGAACCCCACAGACUAAAAACACCAGAGCAAGCUCUGCAUGACCAAGUGAAAUCUGCUACCAUCGUGGUGUGGACCUCCCAGUCCUGUCUGCCCUCAGGAAGUCCUCCUUUGCUUCAAAGAAACACUGUUAGCCCCAUCAACACUCCAGAAAAGCCACACGGCCUCAAAAAAGAUUGAUCAAAAACGCCAGCCCUCAGGAAAUAUUCCACGGCAGUGACAAGGCAAACACUGCCCGAUCACGGAGCGUACAACUCCCUCAGGAAAAAGAAAACAACAAGCAAGAUGAAGAAGCUGAGAAACCACCCCCAGUCAAACCAACAGGAGAACUCACCUAAAACAGUCAACAAUGAAACAGAUCUCUGCAGUCUCACAGACCUGGAGUUCAAAAGAGAAAUAGUGAAAAUACUGAAGGAAUUAAGAGAAGAUAUGAACAGUAAUGCAGAUACCCUCAGAAAGGAACUAGAACAUAUAAGGAGGAGCCAAGAAAAACUAGAACAUUCAUUUGCAGAGAUGCAAACUGAACAAAGGGCAGUAAAAACCAGAAUGAAUAAUGCAGAAGAACGAAUCGGUAUUUGGAAGAUAGAAUAAUGGAAAUCACUCAAUCCGGUCAACAGGCAGAAAACUGAAUCAAAAAACUGGAAAGCAAUAUAAGAGACCUAUGGGAUAAUAUAAAGCAGGCCAAUCUACACAUAAUAGGAAUUCCAGAAGGAGUAGAAAAAGAUAAGGGGAUGGAAAAUAUAUUUGAAGAAAUUAUCAAUGGAAACUUCCCAAAUCUAAAGGAUACUGGGUUCAAGAUACAAGAAGCACAGAGGGCCCCAAACAAACUGAACCCAAACAGACCCACACCAAGACACAUCAUAAUAAAAAUGGCAAAAGUUAGUGAAAAGAGAGGAUCCUAAAGGCAUCAAGAGAAAAACAGAAUGUUACCUACAAGGGAAACCCCAUAAGAAUAUCAGCUGAUUUCUCUACAGAAACACUACAGGCCAGGAGGGAAUGGCAAGAGAUAUUUAAAGUGCUAAAAGGAAAAAAUAUGCAACCUAGAAUACUCUAUCCAGCAAGAAUAUCAUUUAAAAUAGAAGGGGAAAUAAAAAUUUUUUCCAACAAACAAAAACGUAAAGAAUACAGCAACACAAAACCCAGGUUAAAGGAAAUACUGAAAGGGCUUCUCUAAACCAAAAAGAAAUGAAGGAAU
rnacentral:lncRNA from 1 species